rnacentral:rRNA from 1 species
GGGUUGUGAGGUUAAGCGACUAAGCGUACACGGUGGAUGCCCUGGCAGUCAGAGGCGAUGAAGGACGUGCUAAUCUGCGAAAAGCGUCGGUAAGGUGAUAUGAACCGUUAUAGCCGGCGAUGUCCGAAUGGGGAAACCCAGUGCAAUUCGUUGCACUAUCGUUAACUGAAUACAUAGGUUAACGAGGCGAACCGGGGGAACUGAAACAUCUAAGUACCCCGAGGAAAAGAAAUCAACCGAGAUUCCCCCAGUAGCGGCGAGCGAACGGGGAGCAGCCCGGAGUCUGAAUCAGCUUGUGUGUUAGUGGAAGCGUCUGGAAAGUCGCAGGGUACAGGGUGAUACUCCCGUACACUAAAGCGCACAGGCUGUGAACUCGAAGAGUAGGGCGGGACACGUGGUAUCCUGUCUGAAUAUGGGGGGACCAUCCUCCAAGGCUAAAUACUCCUGACUGACCGAUAGUGAACCAGUACCGUGAGGGAAAGGCGAAAAGAACCCCGGCGAGGGGAGUGAAAAAGAACCUGAAACCGUGUACGUACAAGCAGUAGGAGCCUCUUUAUGGGGUGACUGCGUACCUUUUGUAUAAUGGGUCAGCGACUUAUAUUCUGUAGCAAGGUUAACCGUAUAGGGGAGCCGCAGGGAAACCGAGUCUUAACUGGGCGUUAAGUUGCAGGGUAUAGACCCGAAACCCGGUGAUCUAGCCAUGGGCAGGUUGAAGGUUGGGUAACACUAACUGGAGGACCGAACCGACUAAUGUUGAAAAAUUAGCGGAUGACUUGUGGCUGGGGGUGAAAGGCCAAUCAAACCGGGAGAUAGCUGGUUCUCCCCGAAAGCUAUUUAGGUAGCGCCUCGUGAACUCAUCUUCGGGGGUAGAGCACUGUUUCGGCUAGGGGGUCAUCCCGACUUACCAACCCGAUGCAAACUACGAAUACCGAAGAAUGUUAUCACGGGAGACACACGGCGGGUGCUAACGUCCGUCGUGAAGAGGGAAACAACCCAGACCGCCAGCUAAGGUCCCAAAGUCAUGGUUAAGUGGGAAACGAUGUGGGAAGGCCCAGACAGCCAGGAUGUUGGCUUAGAAGCAGCCAUCAUUUAAAGAAAGCGUAAUAGCUCACUGGUCGAGUCGGCCUGCGCGGAAGAUGUAACGGGGCUAAACCAUGCACCGAAGCUGCGGCAGCGACACUAUGUGUUGUUGGGUAGGGGAGCGUUCUGUAAGCCGUUGAAGGUGGCCUGUGAGGGUUGCUGGAGGUAUCAGAAGUGCGAAUGCUGACAUAAGUAACGAUAAUGCGGGUGAAAAACCCGCACGCCGGAAGACCAAGGGUUCCUGUCCAACGUUAAUCGGGGCAGGGUGAGUCGACCCCUAAGGCGAGGCCGAAAGGCGUAGUCGAUGGGAAACAGGUUAAUAUUCCUGUACUCGGUGUUACUGCGAAGGGGGGACGGAGAAGGCUAUGUUGGCCGGGCGACGGUUGUCCCGGUUUAAGCAUGUAGGCGGAUGUUCCAGGUAAAUCCGGAACGUUACUAACGCUGAGGUGUGAUGACGAGGCACUACGGUGCUGAAGUGACAAAUGCCCUGCUUCCAGGAAAAGCCUCUAAGCAUCAGGUAACAUCAAAUCGUACCCCAAACCGACACAGGUGGUCAGGUAGAGAAUACCAAGGCGCUUGAGAGAACUCGGGUGAAGGAACUAGGCAAAAUGGUGCCGUAACUUCGGGAGAAGGCACGCUGAUAUGUAGGUGAAGUGGUUUACCCAUGGAGCUGAAAUCAGUCGAAGAUACCAGCUGGCUGCAACUGUUUAUUAAAAACACAGCACUGUGCAAACACGAAAGUGGACGUAUACGGUGUGACGCCUGCCCGGUGCCGGAAGGUUAAUUGAUGGGGUUAUCCGUAAGGAGAAGCUCUUGAUCGAAGCCCCGGUAAACGGCGGCCGUAACUAUAACGGUCCUAAGGUAGCGAAAUUCCUUGUCGGGUAAGUUCCGACCUGCACGAAUGGCGUAAUGAUGGCCAGGCUGUCUCCACCCGAGACUCAGUGAAAUUGAACUCGCUGUGAAGAUGCAGUGUACCCGCGGCAAGACGGAAAGACCCCGUGAACCUUUACUAUAGCUUGACACUGAACACUGGUCCUUGAUGUGUAGGAUAGGUGGGAGGCUUUGAAGCGUGGACGCCAGUCUGCGUGGAGCCAUCCUUGAAAUACCACCCUUUAAUGGCUGGUGUUCUAACGUGGGCCCGUUAUCCGGGUUGCGGACAGUGUCUGGUGGGUAGUUUGACUGGGGCGGUCUCCUCCUAAAGAGUAACGGAGGAGCACGAAGGUCAGCUAAUCCUGGUCGGACAUCAGGAGGUUAGUGCAAUGGCAUAAGCUGGCUUGACUGCGAGCGUGACGGCGCGAGCAGGUGCGAAAGCAGGUCAUAGUGAUCCGGUGGUUCUGAAUGGAAGGGCCAUCGCUCAACGGAUAAAAGGUACUCCGGGGAUAACAGGCUGAUACCGCCCAAGAGUUCAUAUCGACGGCGGUGUUUGGCACCUCGAUGUCGGCUCAUCACAUCCUGGGGCUGAAGUAGGUCCCAAGGGUAUGGCUGUUCGCCAUUUAAAGUGGUACGCGAGCUGGGUUUAGAACGUCGUGAGACAGUUCGGUCCCUAUCUGCCGUGGGCGCUGGAGAAUUGAGGGGGGCUGCUCCUAGUACGAGAGGACCGGAGUGGACGCAUCACUGGUGUUCGGGUUGUCAUGCCAAUGGCAUUGCCCGGUAGCUAAAUGCGGAAGAGAUAAGUGCUGAAAGCAUCUAAGCACGAAACUUGCCCCGAGAUGAGUUCUCCCUGACUCCUUGAGAGUCCUGAAGGAACGUUGAAGACGACGACGUUGAUAGGCCGGGUGUGUAAGCGCAGCGAUGCGUUGAGCUAACCGGUACUAAUGAACCGUGAGGCUUAACCUUACAACGCCGAAG